GUUAGUAUGGCUCAGUGGUAGAGCGCAUGCCUAGCAUGCACAAAGUCCUGGAUUCAAUCCCCAGUACCUCCG
rnacentral:tRNA from 1 species